UUAAUUAACCUUGACACAGACUUUCGAUUCGCCUCCUACGUCUCGCCGAGUAACUCGCGUCGAACCGUUCGUUACAACGUCGCUCGUAAUUACAGUUUUCGGGGACAUUCGGAGGCUGUACAAGCUGAGAGUAAUUAACCAUGCGCCGUGGAAGAAGUCCUUCGCAUUCGAAGAGAAAGCAGGAAAUCUGACUUACAAUUCGCCAAGACUUAAUUGCGUUGUCAAACGCCAAAAAGUGAAAUCUUCAAAUUUACUCUUACCUUUAUAACUUUCUCUUACCUAUUUUCUUUCUUUCUUCUACUUUGGAAAAAACUCUUACCUCUAACAGACAUCUUUGAUUAUGAAAUAUAAGAUAUCAGCUUGCUGUACAUAAUCCUCCUAGAAUACAUCUUUUUCUUCAAAUCUGAUUCACAGCAUUCAUCCACGAACAUAUUGCUUCAGACUCGUCAUUAGGAACAAGUACUCGUUGCAUUCUUGUCGAUCUCGAUAAUGAAAUACGAUCGUUUAUAUCUCGAUACAAGCCGACUUUAAUAUCUUCCAAAGUACCGUAUGUUUUUAAUAACGAAAAGAAAAGAGGACAUCCGAAACCCGUCAUUUCGACCGUAUCCAUUCUUUGGAGCAAUCGAAAUGAUUACGGUUACGUGCCCAUCCCUGCAAGUAUAUCGUGCAUCAACGACGAUGGAAUUACGCAAGAUUUGCGCAUCCAUUUCACGAAGGCCCGUGGUAUUCGUUCGAGUCACUUUUACGCCGAACGUUCGUGUGCACUCUUCCGGUUCUGUCGAACAAUCACAAACUCACAACCAUAUAUAACGAGCAUCGAUUCCCUCAUCGUUCAAGUAUCCAGCCACGAUGAGCCGAUGCGAAGCGCCAUCCUCCUCGGAUGCCUUUUACGGUCGUCGAGAACAAUAUACCCAUCGUAGCGCGUUUUCUCCUUUCCGCCACUUCACGUUUCGUCCUUUUGUUUCUUCAUUCUCGACGAGAAAUUACGUCGAGCGUUGUCACGAUGCGGUACACUACGCUAAACACGGAACUGAUAUUCGAUGGAUUCUGCGUUCACCGCAAACCAAUUUGUCCGCUGACGUAAUCCGUAAUUAAGAUCAGAACGACGAUAAGCGUUAUCGCCUGUAGCCAGAUUACGUUGUAUAAAUUUUAUGGCGAACGAGACAGCGAAUGCGCGUGGUUACGCGCGACGACUUCCUACGAUCGUGGCUGGAAGCUUGGAAAAUUCGGACGAUAUCGCUUGGGAAAUAUACGUACAUUCCCGGAGUGAUUUGAAUAGAGUCCAAGGUUUUCGGAAUUUUUCAAACGGUCUUUGGAUUUCACCUUUAUCCGAUUACUGCUUUUAUCCACCGUGAUGCAGCGAUCUUAUCGUUCGUUCGAUUCAAACAUCCAAAGAUAGGUAGCAUUAAACGUUAGUGGAUUUUCGAAGACUAGGAAUAAAAUUUAAAUAAUGCACCGCGCAAGGCAACCAAGGGGUCGAUUUUCGUUUCGUCGCCUUCCUUCUUACAGCUAUCGAUAGAUCGUGGACAUUUAUAUUUUUAUGAGAAAUACGAAAAACGAGAAAAUGUAGGGAAUAUUCGUAACACGGAAAUACAGAUAAAACAAAAUAUGCAAAGUAAAUUACUGGUUAUAAUAGUUGAUAAACGUAAAAGAACCACUUCAGUUCUAUUUCUUUGAUCGUGCUCGUAAAAAUACAAAUUUCCAUAAAUAUCCACAAGCUACUCGUUAUUCGUAGCUGCACGUUUCUUUUAACGGUUGUCUUAAAGUCAAUUUUUAUUAUAACAGACGCGUGACAUGAUGGGCGUUUGUUGUAUAUACGAAUAACAUGUCAACCUAUCAAGGCCACAAGACUCUUUUACUUCUGUUCGUUUAAUUGAUACGAUAGAACCAGUCGUAAUAACGAUUCCCCAAUUGUUUUGCGCAGUCUAUCAGCCCAGUGUGGCCGAAAAUGUCUAAUGCGUGUUUAAAGCUCCGUUUUAAAACAUACAAAAAAUAAUGAUCGGUGCUUACCUUAAAUAGGAACCGACAUGGCAGGUACGGUUCGUGUUGCCGUGCCCCGAAUAUCUGCAAAAAGAACGCCAAAGAUCAACAUGACAAAUAAAUAGAGAAGUACACUGACUACGAGAAUCUGGAAAAUGUCAAGCGAGGUACCAAAUUGACUUUGGCGAAGCUGAAAUUGCUACGAAACCAGGUCGUUUCAGCGCCUAGUUCCUUUCAAAUUUCCAAGCUACGAAAACUGCCCGGGUAUAACGACACUUUUACAUGAAAACGAAUCUAAACGAAUACAAACGUAAUUAAAAAAACCAGGAGCGAGUGAUUAUUAGCAACAGGCACCCAAACGACUAUAUCCGCUACGUUACAGUAUGGAUUUCCAGAUCCUCAACAAGAAGCGAGUUACAUAGCGAACAAGAAUCUUCUUUAACGUGAUAUUUCAUCGUCCCUCUACGUAACGACGUUUUCGAGUAGCGACCACUUUCAAACGGACAGAAUUAACGUAUCCAGUUGACAACAACGUCAAGAGGGAACAACAUGGCCGCAAGUAAUAAUAAUUGGCGGAAGCGAAGAGACAGAGAGGAGAAGAAUUUGAAAGCCGACGCCCAACGUUAAUCCCGUUUCAGUGGAAAGAAAGGCACAUCGGGAAAUGAGAAAAGUCGGGAGAGGAAGCAAUUGCGACUGGUUUUUCAUGGUAUUCGUGAUUAUUCGGUGGAAAGGAACAAAAGAAGAGGCAAUACCGGCGGAUGAUGCGCCAUGGCACAAGGCCCGUGUGCCAUUCGUUUCUUCGUACCUGUGCAUCGUUCCUCUUGUUGCGCUAGAACGGUUGACAUAUUUCUUUUAGCGGUACACAGAGACGAGAAGAGAAGCCUAGCCGACGUUUCUUCUCCAUUCUUCUUCUAUUCCUUUGGCCUAGCAACGCCAGUCAUUACCAACGCCGCCAUCAACCACACGCUGUCAUUGUCUGGACGCACUUUGCCGAUGCACGCGACAACGCUCGUUUGAAACGCGACUUUAAUUGCGUAACACCCAGCCGUCUGUCCGUUUUCACAGCGAAACGAAUUAAGACAACGAUCACGUGUACCCCAUCGUUCACCGAGAACAGUUUUCAUGCCAUUCGUGACGCUCUAAAAUAGUUCAUCUCUGUCCGAGGCAAAUUGGAAAGCAAAGGAACGAACUUGUUGCUCUUUGUUUUAUUUUUAAGUGGAUUUGUCGAGGCUGAUUUAUAGAAAACGAUAAAAGAUGAUGUGAUGUAUCGAUCGCUUGCAAUAAAAGAGACAUGGCGUAUUAUAUGUACUUGGCAUCACUAGUGCGUGUAUUUAUAAUUCAAUUUCUGAUAUUCACGGGUAUUUAU